GAUGAACGCUGGCGGCGUGCCUAACACAUGCAAGUCGAGCGAAGCAUUUUAAAGGAAGUUUUCGGAUGGAAUUUGAAAUGACUGAGCGGCGGACGGGUGAGUAACGCGUGGGUAACCUGCCUCAUACAGGGGGAUAACAGUUAGAAAUGACUGCUAAUACCGCAUAAGCACACAGUACCGCAUGGUACAGUGUGAAAAACUCCGGUGGUAUGAGAUGGACCUGCGUCUGAUUAGCUAGUUGGUGGGGUAACGGCCUACCAAGGCGAUGAUCAGUAGCCGGUCUGAGAGGAUGAACGGCCACAUUGGGACUGAGACACGGCCCAG
rnacentral:rRNA from 1 species